rnacentral:rRNA from 1 species
UAAUACCGGAUAGAUCAAAGACGCUGGAAUGCCCUAUGAUCCAAAACUCCGGUGCCCAAGGAUGGGUCUGCGGCCUAUCAGGUUGUAGUGGGUGUAACGUACCUACUAGCCUACGACGGGUAAGGGUUGUGAGAGCAAGAUCCCUGAGAUGGAUUCUGAGACAUGAAUCCAGGCCCUACGGGGUGCAGCAGGCGCGAAACCUUUACACUGCGGGAAACCGCGAUAAGGGGACCCCGAGUGCCAGCAUCUAAUGCUGGCUGUCCCGCUGUCCAAACAACAGCGGUUAGCAAGGGCCGGGCAAGACCGGUGCCAGCCGCCGCGGUAACACCGGCGGCCCGAGUGAUAGCCGUUAUUAUUGGGUUUAAAGGGCCCGUAGCCGGCCUAUUAAGUCUCUUGGGAAAUCUGGCGGCUUAAUCGUCAGGCGUCC